rnacentral:SRP_RNA from 1 species
GACGGCUCCCCACGUGACGUUAUCUCGUAUACCGCCCAGGGUCGGAAGGCAGCAAGGCAAUGCGGGCUCUAGCGGGUGCGUGGGGAGUCCUUUAU